rnacentral:rRNA from 2 species
GCGCUACACAUGCAGUCGAGCGGUAAGAGAAGCUUGCUUCUCUUGAGAGCGGCGGACGGGUGAGUAAUGCCUAGGAAUCUGCCUAGUGGUGGGGGAUAACGUUCGGAAACGGACGCUAAUACCGCAUACGUCCUACGGGAGAAAGCGGGGGAUCUUCGGACCUCGCGCCAUUAGAUGAGCCUAGGUCGGAUUAGCUAGUUGGUGAGGUAAUGGCUCACCAAGGCGACGAUCCGUAACUGGUCUGAGAGGAUGAUCAGUCACACUGGAACUGAGACACGGUCCAGACUCCUACGGGAGGAAGCAGUGGGGAAUAUUGGACAAUGGGCGAAAGCCUGAUCCAGCCAUGCCGCGUGUGUGAAGAAGGUCUUCGGAUUGUAAAGCACUUUAAGUUGGGAGGAAGGGUAGUA